rnacentral:lncRNA from 10 species
AAAAAAAAUUUCCAAAAAGGUGACCACAGGGAGAAAAACAUGAAGAUAACCACCAGCUCAGACCCAGCCGGGGCUUGUGGCCAUGCCCACCUGCUCCUGUGUGUCCUGGGCCUCGGGCAAGCCACUCAUCCUCUCCCCACUGUUUCCAGUCUGUAAGCUGGGAUUAGUGACGCUGCCUUCUCAGUUGUGGGAACCUAGAAGGCAGCAAUGGGCCUCUCUCCCUAGGUUGCAACCCGGGGCUGGCACGUAGUAGGUCUGUUUCCAGCUGCCACACACGCUACCUUACCAGGGGUCCCCAAGAGACAGGACAGGGUGAUGGGCCCAUUUCACAGGGGGAAAAACCGAGGCAAAGAAAGGCAGUGGAGACUCGUGCUUCUGCUUCAGUAGCUCCUGCCAUGGACUUGUCAUGGGAACCCCCUCCCACAAGCUCUGUCCCCGGCACCCUCUGGCACUGUUAGCCAGCGGAAUCCAGCUGUCACCAUGGCCUGGUUCUUAGCACCCCUGGGAACUUUUAGAGCCUCUGGCCUGUGCUAACUGAGGUUGGGCAGCUGCUGGCCAGGGCCCUAGAGAGAGGGGUAUCAGGUAGCUAGUGCUGAGUAACAAAUAGCUCCAAACACAUGACUUCACAUGUCCUUAGUAUUAAAGGGCCUGGUGGUACUGCUGCUCAUUGCUAGGCCUGGCAAGUCCUAGCUGGGCUCACUCACACAUCUGUGGGCAGCUGGGAGCUAGCUAGUCCAGGAUGGCCUCAGCUAGGGUGACCCAGGCUCCAUCGCCCUCUUGCCUUCCAGCAAAGCAGCCCAGCCCGUUCUCGUGCUAUAGCAGGAGUCGGGGAGAGCAGGCAGAGGCACGCAUGUCCCUGGAGGCUUAAGCUCAGAGCUGGGAAUGUCAUUGCUGUCACCUUUUAUUGGCCACAGCAAGUCAUAAGACAGGCUCAGAUUGAAGGAUGGGGAAGUAGACGCCACCUCUAGACAGGAGUUGGGGCAAAGUCACACAGCAAAGGGCGUGGUGAUUCAGGGAGGAGUGGGGCAUCGGGGACACGUUUGUAACUGAUCUACCACAGAGGGGAGCCCCCCUUUGAGAAAGUGCUUGGUGGGCCUUGGUGCUUACGCAGCCACGGACCAACCUGCUAGAUGGGGCCUUCAGUAGGGUGGCGGGACGUCAGUUUAGCCUCAGGAUUCGACUCCGAGCCUCUUGCGAGACCACGUCUUGGGCAGCAUCGUAGACCCGGCUGUGAGCACAGAGUGGCUCUUCCAGAAAGUUUGUUGAAUGACUGACUGACCUAAGUCAGUCCCUGUGCCAGGCAGCCCAGAGGGACCAGCCCAGAGCCUCCUUCUCGGGGUGCAAGCCUGGCUUGGGAUUGGGGGGUGUCUGCACUCGUGGAGCCCCCCAUGCCUGCCGGGAGCCUGAAGACGCAGAGACCUCCUGCCUCGCCUCGCCCCCUCCGUGGGGACCCUCUUCCCCACACUCCUUGGUUCCUGUCGGAGCCAAGAUGUGUCACCAUGGAAACCGCUUGGCAAACGCUGGCAGGCAGAGGCGGCCAACAGCAGCUCUCCCGAUCGAGCUCCGGGCACCGGCUGGAGCAACGUCGCGGGACGGCGUGAGCGAGCACACCCAGCCGUGCUGACAGGACCGGCAGAGGUGGCCACUGCCCUCGUCCCCAGCCUGCACUCCUGGGCGAAGGCUGACGCUGAACAGGCUUCCAGUCCUCCCAGUGGAUCCCACCUCUGCACCUUUGCCCAGGCUGUGCUGAGACCUGGAAGGCCCCUUCUCUCCCUACUCCAUCUUGACAAAGCCUUCCUGCUUCAGCUCAGAGGCACCUCUUCCAGGAAGUUGGCCCUGAUGGCCCCAGUGGAAGGGAAGUUCCUUUCAACUGAGUGGGGAGGCGCCCCACCCUAGCAGCCCCUCCCAGACCCCAAGCAGCCUUGGGGCUCCCCAGGCACUCGCCUGGCAGAACGGAAGCAGGGGUGGCGGCUGAGGUCUGCCACCCUCGCUGAGCGCCCUGCAGCCCCUGUGGUUGCAGUUUUACUUGUUUUGAAAGCCCCAUUAAUGAUCAGAAGUUUGGGAAAGGGGGCCUGGCUGGGCUAGACUGGGGGGACAUGGAGCCCCAGGGACCAGCCAGGCCCCUUUCUGACCAGACCUCUAAUCUGAUGUGAUGGCACCACUGGUGGGUGGGACACAGCUGUCCCCAGAAUGUACCUGGGGGAGGAAUGACUUCACCUCCCCUGCCGGGUGAGUCACCUUCUGGGGGGUGGGGGGGCGGUGGAUGGAAGAGGUCAGGCUGCCUCAUUCCCCUAAGACACUGCUGGGCCUGCUUCCCCUUUUGAGGGCAGAGAAACGUCCCUCCCUCAGCUUGGAAGAGGAAGGGGCCAGAUGCGCUGUCCUGUGCACCUUCCAAAACACCCCCUGACCUCCAGCACCCGGGGACUGCAUUUACCUUUGUUCCCAUUUGUCAGAUGGAGAGGUCGAGGCCUCGGGAGGAGCCGGGCUUCCUCCCCACCCCACUUCUUGCUCCUCUGCUCUCCCCGAUGCCCACUUAGCCCCCACUCCCACCCCGCUCCACACACAGGGACAUAUGAACAUUAAUGGGGACUCCCCAAGCCCUGGCAGGGCCCCCACAGCUGUAUCCAUGGGUCUGUCCGACCCCUGGGUCCAGCCACACCUCUGCCCCCGGGGCCCCACCAGCUCUGUGGGGAGGCGAUGCCAGCUGCAGGCGGGGACAGCGUCGGGGCCAGGGCAGAAGGCCCCAAGCCUCUGAGUCAGCCGGGCAGGAAGGAGGCCAGCAGCCUCUGCCCGCAGCCUGUUCCGUCACGACCCCCCCGCCCCACCCCAGAGUCUCAGCUUCCUCGUUCAGAAGAGGGGCCUAUGCCGUCCUAUGAGAAGUGGGUGGGCACAUGGUGGGUGCUCAGGGAGGACCACAGCCACCCAGACGGGGGUCAGGCCACGUGACGGUGAGGGCCCUCCAUCCUCCCGCCAUCCCCAUCACUGUCCACACCCCCCAGGCAGCUGCUCUGCUGACUCAGGACCGUCCAAGGCCAAGGUGGGGUCACAGCCCUGCCAGCCGCCCCCAAGGCCAGGGUAGCCCCCAGCCAGGCUUAGAGUAAGGGGGUCUCUGCAGGCCCAUUCAGCACGUCAGCACUCUUCUGGAGGGGGCAGCGACGGGGGAGGGCAAGGCACCCCCCCAUAGAGAGGCACUUUUCACAGUGUGUCGUCUCCUUGGAGCAGAGUGGGGGGUGCAGAGGCACCAGGAGGGGGACCUGGAGCCCUGGGGUCGGGGGAAGCAGGGUCAGGCCAGAGCAGGAACUUGCAAGGGGCGCGGCCAGGGCAGUGCCAGGCCAAGGGUGUAAGCCCCAGGGAAGGGGUGGGGGCUCAUGGUGAAGAGGAAGUGAGCCGCCCCGGGGCUGCCAGGAGGGUGAGGGGAGGGAAUCCCCGCAGAGGCUGCAGCACCCGUCCCCUACUCAGUCACCCUCAAAGGCUGGAUUUGAGGAAGGAAAAGCACCGCAGAGCUGCUGUAUUUAAAAAACAAGCGUCUGGAUCUCUGCAGGGGCUGGGAC